UACAGAGGUCCCGAGCGUUGUUCGGAUUCACUGGGCGUAAAGGGUGCGUAGGUGGCUUGAAAAGUUUGAUGUGAAAGCUCAGGGCUUAACCCUGAAAUGGCAUUGAAAACUGUCGGGCUGGAGGUUUGGAGGGGGGACUGGAAUUCUUGGUGUAGCAGUGAAAUGCGUAGAUAUCAAGAGGAACACCAGUGGCGAAGGCGAGUCCCUGGACAACACCUGACACUGAGGCACGAAGGCUAGGGGAGCAAACAGG
rnacentral:rRNA from 1 species